rnacentral:rRNA from 1 species
GACGUAGGAGGCGAGCGUUAUCCGGAUUCACUGGGCGUAAAGCGCAUGUAGGCGGUUGGACAAGUCGUGUGUUAAAGCCCCUGGCUCAACUGGGGGGAGGUCGAGUGCGAGACUGUGCGACUUGAGGGCAAGAGAGGCACGUGGAACUCCCGGUGUAGCGGUGGAAUGCGUAGAGAUCGGGAAGAACACCAGUGGCGAAGGCGACGUGCUGGGUUGCACCUGACGCUGAGCCGCGAAGCGU